rnacentral:rRNA from 1 species
AAGUCGUGCGAGAAAGUAUCUUCGGAUAUGAGUAGAGCGGCGGACGGGUGAGUAACGCGUAGGAAUCUACCUAGUAGAAGGGGAUAGCCCGGGGAAACCCGGAUUAAUACCGUAUACCUCCUUCGGGAGAAAGAAGGCCUCUCUUUGAAGCUUUCGCUACUAGAUGAGCCUGCGUAAGAUUAGCUUGUUGGUGAGGUAAAGGCUCACCAAGGCGACGAUCUUUAGCUGGUCUGAGAGGACGAUCAGCCACAUUGGGACUGAGACACGGCCCAGACUCCUACGGGAGGCAGCAGUGGGGAAUAUUGGACAAUGGGCGCAAGCCUGAUCCAGCCAUACCGCGUGUGUGAAGAAGGCCUUCGGGUUGUAAAGCACUUUAAGCAGGGAGAAAAAGUUAUAAGUUAAUACCUUAUAACCCUGAUGUUACCUGCAGAAUAAGCACCGGCUAAUUCCGUGCCAGCAGCCGCGGUAAUACGGAAGGUGCAAGCGUUAAUCGGAAUUACUGGGCGUAAAGCGCGCGUAGGUGGUUUGUUAAGUUGGAUGUGAAAGCCCUGGGCUCAACCUAGGAACUGCAUCCAAAACUAACUCACUAGAGUACGAUAGAGGGAGGUAGAAUUCAUAGUGUAGCGGUGGAAUGCGUAGAUAUUAUGAAGAAUACCAGUGGCGAAGGCGGCCUCCUGAUUUGUACUGACACUGAGGUGCGAAAGCGUGGGUAGCGAACAGGAUUAGAUACCCUGGUAGUCCACGCCGUAACGAUGACAACUAGCUGUUGGGAGACUAUGUCUUUCAGUGGCGCAGCUAA